AAAUCCGGUUGAUCCUGCCGGAGGCUACCGCUAUUGGAGUUCGAUUAAGCCAUGCGAGUCGCGAGUCUUAGGGACUCGGCGUACCGCUCAGUAACACGUGGGUAACCUGCCCUAUGCUGGGGAAUAACCUCGGGAAACUGAGAACAAUGCCCCAUAGCCCACUACGCCUGGAACGGUGAGUGGGUCAAAGCCCCGGCGGCAUAGGAUGGGCCUGC
rnacentral:rRNA from 1 species